CAGAUCAAAGAGCGACACAACAACUCCGGGAAUACCAGGAAGCCCGAAACAAACUGAGACAACGUAUACGACAUAAUAAGGGAGAAUCCUGGAAAAAAACUAUAGAAACAGUCGACCGAGACGUUUUCGGACUCCCUUAUCAAAUAGUAAUGGACAAAAUAAAGAAAAGAUCACCACCAAUCCCCCCAGACAUAGUGAUGAAAGCGAUAAGGAACCUAUUUCCUAUGCAACCAAGGAGGGAUGAAACAACGAUUGAGGUAGAUAAAAGAGACAUCCCCGAAGUAACUCUGGAAGAAAUAACAGAAGCAGGAAACAAAAUAGCAGCAGGGAAAGCACCAGAGUCCGACGGAGUCCCACCGGAAGUAGUCAAGAUGUUGAUCAAAAGGUGGCCAAGGAUAUUACAAAAAUUGGCGAACGACAUACUGCGGAGAGGAAAAUUCCCGGAUAUAUGGAGGGAAGCAAACUUAGUCCUGAUUCCAAAACCCGGAAAUAAGACAGGUCCUACGGCAUUUCGACCAAUCUGUCUUCUAAAUACAGCAGCAAAAGCUAUUGAACGCAUAAUAGUAAACAGACUGAACAAGGAGAUUGAAGAUAAGGAGGCAUUGUCGGAGACGCAAUACGGCUUUAGGAAGCACCGUUCCACGAUGCCAGCUAUGGACAAAGUCCUCAGGCUAGCGAGGGAAGAGAUGAGAAGCACACUAAAGACCAGGGAACUUCGUGCCACUAAUCCUACUGGAUGUCAGAAAUGCUUUUAAUAGCAUGAACUGAGGAAAAUUAAUGGAAGCACUGGAAGAAAAGAAUAUCUCUAAGUAUCUACGCAGGACUAUCAGUUCAUACUUAGAGAAGAGAAUACUAAUAGCGGAUGGGGCAAGAUAGGUCACAGCAGGAGUCCCACAGGGGUUGGUCCUCGGUCCAAUACUGCGGAAUCUAGCCUACGACAGCGUUCUGCAAAAAACGGGACUGCCGUAGGGGGUAGAGACCAUAGCAUAUGCAGAUGACCUAGCUCUCAUAAUCAGAGCCCGGACAGGGGUGGAACUGGAGAACAAAGCUAAUGACUCCCUCCAGAUCAUAGAACGGUCGAUGGAAGAACAUUAUCUACGGCUANNNNNNNNNNNNNNNNNNNNCUGGAGCUGUCACAUGUGCAGAUCUUGGUGGUAGUAGCAAGUACUCAAUUGAAAACCUUGAGCACUGAAGUUGGGGAUGGGUUCCAGGUGAACAGUAGUUGAUCGUGGGUCAGUCGGUCCUAAGCUUAUGAUGAAACAUGUGUUGAAUGUGUAUAAUAAUGUGUUAUCACUAUAAGCGAAAGGGAAUCAGGCUAAUAUUCCUGAACCUGCACACUGGGAGGCUACUUAGGUAGCAACCGUGGCAACACAAUUACGCUCAAAAACACCAAGGGAUAGGCUAGGAAGAGUUGUCUUUUCUUUUUAAGUUACUGGUACCCAUGGAAUGAAGUAAAUUUGAGAUAUGGGUAAGGGUGACAUAAAGCUGCUCAUAUUAGAGUAGUUUAGUUGAUUCCUUUGGUCCUUGAAAAUUUGAGCGUGGUGAUUAUCUUGGUGGCAGUCCGUACUAAUAUCCGCAGCAGGUCUCCAAGGUGCGAAGCCUUUAGUGUCUAGAUUAAUGUAGGUAAGGGAAGUCGGCAAAAUAGUUCUAUAACUUUGGGAGAAGGGAUGGCUCUGAAGGUUGAUCCAGUCAGGUUGACAGUAGAAGUAUUUAUGACAUUGUGUUGUCGCCGGAUGGACUUCGUGUCUGUCUGGAUGAUGACCGAAGUUGUGUUUAUGGACAUUGUUAGCUAUUUCGGUUUAUGCUGAUGUGAGUGGAAAUUAUCAACUACUUCAGAACUGGCACGAACUGAGGGAAUCGACUGUCUAAUUAAAACAAAGCAUUGUGAAGUCCAGUAAUUGGUUAUGACACAAUGUGAUUUCUGCCCAGUGCUCUGAAUGUCAAAGUGAAGAGAUUCUUUGAAGCGCGGGUAAACGGCGGGAGUAACUAUGACUCUCUUAUGGUAGCCAAAUGCCUCGUCAUCUAAUUAGUGACGCGCAUGAAUGGAUUAACGAGAUUCCCACUGUCCCUAUCUACUGUCUAGCGAAACCACAGCCAAGGGAACGGGCUUGGACUGAACGACGGGGAAAGAAGACCCUGUUGAGCUUGACUCGUCUGACUUUGUGAAGAGACAUAGGAGGUGUAGCAUAAGUGGGAGAUUCGUCAUCAAUGAAAUACCACUACUCCUAUUGUUUCUUUACUUACUCAAUGAAGUAAAUAUGGUCAUUUCAUGUUUUAGAAAGAAGCAUAGUAAUUUGUGCGAUUUAUAUUGAGGACAUAGUCAGGUGGGGAGUUUGACUGGGGCGGUACAUCUGUCAAAAAAUAACGCAGGUGUCCUAAGGCCAGCUCAGCGAGAACAGAAUUCUCGCAUAGAGCAAAAGGGUAAAUGCUGGCUUGAUCUUAGCUUUCAGUACCCCGAGUACCUCGAGUGGCCCCUCGAUCCUUUUGUCUUUAGGAAUUUUAAGCAAGAGGUGUCAGAAAAGUUACCACAGGGAUAACUCGCUUGUGGCGGCCAAGCGUUCAUAGCGACACCGCUCUUUGAUCCUUCGAUGUCGGCUCUUCCUAUCAUUGCGAAGCAGAAUUCGCCAAGUGUUGGAUUGUUCACCCACUAAUAGGGAACGUGAGCUGGGUUUAGACCGUCGUGAAACAGGUUAGUUUUACCCUACCGUUCGCAGUUGUUAUGGUGAUGGUAAUCCUGCUUAGUACGAGAGGAACCGUAGGUUUAGACAAUUGGUUCUGUGUUUGAUUGAAAAAUCAGAGGCACUAAUCUACCAUCUAUGGAUUAUGACUGAACGCCUCUAAGUCAGAAUCCAAUCCAGAGUCCGUAACAUUAGUGUCUGGAAUGUGUAUUGUUCAUUAAGUAGUUGU
rnacentral:rRNA from 1 species